rnacentral:rRNA from 1 species
AUUGAACGCUGGCGGCAGGCUUAACACAUGCAAGUCGAGGGGUAUAGUUCUUCGGAGCUAGAGACCGGCGCACGGGUGCGUAACGCGUAUGCAAUCUACAUUUUGCAGAGGGAUAGCCCAGAGAAAUUUGGAUUAAUACCUCAUGGUAUGUGAGAAUGGCAUCAUUUUCACAUUAAAGUCACAACGGCAAAAGAGGAGCAUGCGUCCCAUUAGCUAGUUGGUAAGGUAACGGCUUACCAAGGCAACGAUGGGUAGGGGUCCUGGGAGGGAGAUCCCCCACACUGGUACUGAGACACGGACCAGACUCCUACGGGAGGCAGCAGUGAGGAAUAUUGGACAAUGGGCGCAAGCCUGAUCCAGCCAUGCCGCGUGCAGGAUGACGGUCCUAUGGAUUGUAAACUGCUUUUGUACAGGAAGAAACACUGGUUCGUGAACCAGCUUGACGGUACUGUAAGAAUAAGGAUCGGCUAACUCCGUGCCAGCCGCCGCGGUAAGAC